GAUCAUGGCUCAGGAUGAACGCUGGCGGCGUGCUUAACACAUGCAAGUCGAACGAAGAUGCCGGAGUGCUUGCACUUUGGCAGACUGAGUGGCGGACGGGUGAGUAACGCGUGGGUAACCUGCCUUAUACAGGGGGGAUAACAGUUGGAAACGACUGCUAAUACCGCAUAAGCGCACGGUAUCGCAUGAUACAGUGUGAAAAACUCCGGUGGUAUAAGAUGGACCCGCGUCUGAUUAGCUAGUUGGUGAGGUAACGGCCCACCAAGGCGACGAUCAGUAGCCGGCCUGAGAGGGUGAACGGCCACAUUGGGACUGAGACACGGCCCAAACUCCUACGGGAGGCAGCAGUGGGGAAUAUUGCACAAUGGGGGAAACCCUGAUGCAGCGACGCCGCGUGAGUGAUGAAGUAUUUCGGUAUGUAAAACUCUAUCAGCAGGGAAGAUAAUGACGGUACCUGACUAAGAAGCACCGGCUAAAUACGUG
rnacentral:rRNA from 1 species